AAUCUUCGGAUUCUAGUGGCGGACGGGUGAGUAGCGCGCUAAGAAUCUAACUUCAGGACGGGGACAACAGUUGGAAACGAUUGCUAAUACCCGAUGUGCCGCAAGGUGAAAACUAAUUGGCCUGAAGAAGAGCUUGCGUCUGAUUAGCUAGUUGGUGGGGUAAGAGCCUACCAAGGCGACGAUCAGUAGCUGGUCUGAGAGGAUGAGCAGCCACACUGGGACUGAGACACGGCCCAGACUCCUACGGGAGGCAGCAGUGGGGAAUUUUCCGCAAUGGGCGAAAGCCUGACGGAGCAACGCCGCGUGAGGGAGGAAGGUCUUUGGAUUGUAAACCUCUUUUCUCAAGGAAGAAGUUCUGACGGUACUUGAGGAAUCAGCCUCGGCUAACUCCGUGCCAGCAGCCGCGGUAUACGGGGGAGGCAAGCGUUAUCCG
rnacentral:rRNA from 1 species